rnacentral:rRNA from 1 species
AAUGGGGGAUAACGUAGCGAAAGUUACGCUAAUACCGCAUAUGCCCUGAGGGGGAAAGGUGGGGAUCGCAAGACCUAUCGUUUUCGGAGCGGCCGAUAUCAGAUUAGCUAGUUGGUGGGGUAAAGGCCUACCAAGGCGACGAUCUGUAGCGGGUCUGAGAGGAUGAUCCGCCACACUGGGACUGAGACACGGCCCAGACUCCUACGGGAGGCAGCAGUGGGGAAUUUUGGACAAUGGGGGCAACCCUGAUCCAGCCAUGCCGCGUGAGUGAAGAAGGCCUUCGGGUUGUAAAGCUCUUUCAGCCGGAAAGAAAUCGUGCAGGCUAAUAUCCUGCAUGGAUGACGGUACCGGAAGAGGAAGCACCGGCUAACUACGUGCCAGCAGCCGCGGUAAUACGUAGGGUGCGAGCGUUAAUCGGAAUUACUGGGCGUAAAGCGUGCGCAGGCGGUUUUGUAAGACAGGUGUGAAAUCCCCGGGCUUAACCUGGGAACUGCAUUUGUGACUGCAAGGCUAGAGUGUGGCAGAGGGGGGUAGAAUUCCG